GUUGUAUAGUCAAGUAAUUAAGUGCAUGUGGUGGAUGCCUUGGCAGUCAGAGGCGAUGAAAGACGUGAUAGCCUGCGAAAAGCUCCGGGGAGGCGGCAAAUAUCCUUUGAUCCGGAGAUGUCUGAAUGGGGGAACCCACCUACUUUAAGGUAGGUAUUGCAACAUGAAUACAUAGUGUUGCAAGGCGAACGAGGGGAAGUGAAACAUCUCAGUACCCUUAGGAAAAGAAAUCAAUUGAGAUUCCCUCAGUAGCGGCGAGCGAACGGGGAUCAGCCCAUUAAGUUAUGUGUGUUUUAGUGGAACGCUCUGGGAAGUGCGAACGUAGAGGGUGAUAUUCCCGUACACGAAAGGGCACACAUAAUGAUGACGAGUAGGGCGAGGCACGUGAAACCUUGUCUGAAUAUGGGGGGACCAUCCUCCAAGGCUAAAUACUCCUGACUGACCGAUAGUGAACCAGUACCGUGAGGGAAAGGCGAAAAGAACCCCUGUGAGGGGAGUGAAAUAGAUCCUGAAACCGCAUGCAUACAAGCAGUGGGAGCACCUUCGUGGUGUGACUGCGUACCUUUUGUAUAAUGGGUCAGCGACUUAUAUUCAGUAGCAAGGUUAACCGUAUAGGGGAGCCGUAGAGAAAUCGAGUCUUAAUAGGGCGUUUAGUUGCUGGGUAUAGACCCGAAACCAGGCGAUCUAUCCAUGAGCAGGUUGAAGGUUGGGUAACACUAACUGGAGGACCGAACCCACUGUCGUUGAAAAGCCAGGGGAUGACUUGUGGAUAGGGGUGAAAGGCUAAUCAAGCCUGGUGAUAGCUGGUUCUCCCCGAAAGCUAUUUAGGUAGCGCCUCGGACGAAUACCAUAGGGGGUAGAGCACUGUUUCGGCUAGGGGGUCAUCCCGACUUACCAAACCGAUGCAAACUCCGAAUACCUAUGAGUACUAUCCGGGAGACAGACUGCGGGUGCUAACGUCCGUAGUCAAGAGGAAAACAAUCCAGACCGCCAGCUAAGGCCCCAAAAUCAUAGUUAAGUGGGAAACGAUGUGGGAAGGCAUAGACAGCUAGGAGGUUGGCUUANNNNNNNNNNNNNNNNNNNNNNNNNNNNNNNNGAAGCAGCCACCCUUUAAAGAAAGCGUAAUAGCUCACUAGUCGAGUCGGCCUGCGCGGAAGAUGUAACGGGGCUAAAACUAUGUGCCGAAGCUGCGGAUUUGACAUUAGUCAAGUGGUAGGGGAGCGUUCUGUAAGCCGAUGAAGGUGUAUUGAGAAGUNNNNNNNAUGCUGGAGGUAUCAGAAGUGCGAAUGCUGACGUGAGUAACGACAAAACGGGUGAAAAACCCGUUCGCCGAAAGACCAAGGGUUCCAGUCCAACGUUAAUCGGGGCUGGGUGAGUCGACCCCUAAGGCGAGGCCGAAAGGCGUAGUCGAUGGGAAAAUGGUUAAUAUUCCAUUACUUCUGUGUAAUGCGAUGAGAGGACGGAGAAGGCUAAAUCAGCCUGGCGUUGGUUGUCCAGGUGAAAGGAUGUAGGCAUGUAUCUUAGGCAAAUCCGGGGUACUCUAUGCUGAGAUCUGAUAGCAAGCUGUACUUGUACAGCGAAGUGGUUGAUGCCAUGCUUCCAGGAAAAGUCUCUAAGCUUCAGUUACACAGGAAUCGUACCCGAAACCGACACAGGUGGUCAGGUCGAGUAGACCAAGGCGCUUGAGAGAACUCUGCUGAAGGAACUAGGCAAAAUGGUACCGUAACUUCGGGAGAAGGUACGCUGUUGUUGGUGAUGGAACUCGCUUCCUGAGCUGACGACAGCCGCAGAAACCAGGCCGCUGCAACUGUUUAUUAAAAACAUAGCACUCUGCAAACACGAAAGUGGACGUAUAGGGUGUGAUGCCUGCCCGGUGCUGGAAGGUUAAUUGAUGGGGUUAGCGUAAGCGAAGCUCUUGAUCGAAGCCCCAGUAAACGGCGGCCGUAACUAUAACGGUCCUAAGGUAGCGAAAUUCCUUGUCGGGUAAGUUCCGACCUGCACGAAUGGCAUAAUGAUGGCGGCGCUGUCUCCAGCAGAGGCUCAGUGAAAUCGAAAUCGCUGUGAAGAUGCAGUGUACCCGCGGCUAGACGGAAAGACCCCGUGAACCUUUACUGCAGCUUGACACUGAACUUUGACCUUACUUGUGUAGGAUAGGUGGGAGGCUUUGAAGCUGGAACGCUAGUUCCAGUGGAGCCGUCCUUGAAAUACCACCCUGGUAAUGUUGAGGUUCUAACUCUGUCCCGUGAUCCGGGACGAGGACCGUGUCUGGUGGGUAGUUUGACUGGGGCGGUCUCCUCCUAAAGAGUAACGGAGGAGUACGAAGGUGCGCUCAGCGUGGUCGGAAAUCACGCGUAGAGUAUAAAGGCAAAAGCGCGCUUAACUGCGAGACCCACAAGUCGAGCAGGUACGAAAGUAGGUCUUAGUGAUCCGGUGGUUCUGUAUGGAAGGGCCAUCGCUCAACGGAUAAAAGGUACUCUGGGGAUAACAGGCUGAUACCGCCCAAGAGUUCAUAUCGACGGCGGUGUUUGGCACCUCGAUGUCGGCUCAUCUCAUCCUGGGGCUGAAGCAGGUCCCAAGGGUAUGGCUGUUCGCCAUUUAAAGAGGUACGCGAGCUGGGUUUAGAACGUCGUGAGACAGUUCGGUCCCUAUCUACCGUGGGCGCUGGAAAUUUGAGAGGAUCUGCUCCUAGUACGAGAGGACCAGAGUGGACGAACCUCUGGUGUACCGGUUGUGACGCCAGUCGCAUCGCCGGGUAGCUAUGUUCGGAAGGGAUAACCGCUGAAAGCAUCUAAGCGGGAAGCCUACCUCAAGAUAAGAUUUCCCUAGGACUUUAUGUCCUCUAAAGAGCCGUUCGAGACUAGGACGUUGAUAGGUUGGAUGUGGAAGCAUAGUGAUAUGUGAAGCUGACCAAUACUAAUUGCUCGUGAGGCUUGACUAUACAACACCCAAGCAGUUG
rnacentral:rRNA from 1 species